rnacentral:rRNA from 1 species
AUUGAACGCUGGCGGCAGGCUUAACACAUGCAAGUCGAACGAGUGGCGGACGGGUGAGUAAUGCUUGGGAAUCUAGCUUAUGGAGGGGGAUAACUACUCGCAACUGUAGCUAAUACCGCCUACCAUAGGAUGAGCCCCACUGGGAUUAGGUAGUUGGUGAGGUAAAGGCUCACCAAGCCAACGAUCCCUAGCUGGUCUGAGAGGAUGACCAGCCACACUGGGACUGAGACACGGCCCAGACUCCUACGGGAGGCAGCAGUGGGGAAUAUUGCGCAAUGGGGGCAACCUGACGCAGCCAUGCCGCGUGAAUGAAGAAGGCCUUCGGGUUGUAAAGUUCUUUCGGUAGAGAAGCGUUAACUACAGAAGAAGCACCGGCUAACUACGUGCCAGCAGCCGCGGUAAUUC